rnacentral:sRNA from 1 species
UAAUAGCCCCGAUAAUAGUGGAAAUCCUUUUGCUUUUUUCUUUAAAAAGUAAAAGAUUGUAACGGAUAGCGGGAUUGGCU